GGUGCAGCAGGCGCGAAAACUUUGCAAUGCGGGAAACCGUGACAAGGGAACUCUGAGUGCCCGUUAAAUCGGGCUGUCCAUCGGUUUAAAUAACCGGUGAAGAAAGGGCCGGGCAAGACCGGUGCCAGCCGCCGCGGUAAUACCGGCGGCUCGAGUGGUGGCCACUAUUACUGGGCUUAAAGCGUUCGUAGCUGGUUUGUUAAGUCUCUGGGGAAAUCUUCCGGCUUAACCGGAAGGCGUCUCAGGGAUACUGGCAGACUAGGGACCGGGAGAGGUGAGAGGUACUCCAGGGGUAGGAGUGAAAUCCUGUAAUCCUUGGGGGACCACCUGUGGCGAAGGCGUCUCACCAGAACGGCUCCGACAGUGAGGGACGAAAGCUGGGGGAGCAAACCGGAUUAGAUACCCGGGUAGUCCCAGCUGUAAACGAUGUGCGUUAGGUGUAUCGGUGACCACGAGUCACCGAGGUGCCGAAGAGAAAUCGUGAAACGUACCGCCUGGGAAGUACGGUCGCAAGGCUGAAACUUAAAGGAAUUGGCGGGGGAGCAC
rnacentral:rRNA from 1 species